AGUAAAAAAAUAAUAUGUUUUACUUGAAUCCAUAUUAUAUACAGUAUAAGGUCAACCAUUAUAGUCAGGAAUUAGAAGUAGAUGCCAAAGGAGGCUCAGUUUGAUUGCACCUAUUACUAGAGAAUAAUACAUGUCCUUAGUGCUUUUGGAGUUCUCUGGCUGGUAAAGCUUUUUGAUUUUUCUUUGGUCAUAGGUUGGCAAGCCUUUGGAGGCCGUAAAAUCUAAUGCAUGCUGAAGGUGAGACAGGCUCUAGUGGGGUAACAUCUCCUGAACAGGAGACAGUCUGCUUUAAUUUUCAACUUGACAUUAUGAGGAAUCUAAUUUACUGGGUGGGUCAGUAGAUGGCACAAGCAUUGUUUAGUUCUUAUUGAUGACUGAGCUUUGUGGCAAACUAAUAUAUGAUUUUAGUAGGUCCAUCAUAAAUGUAGCGUUAACAAAUGAUUUCAUAACAAUUUUGUGCAAACAACAAACGCAAAAUUGAAGAGUCUAGAAAAAUAAUAACUUUUCUCUUUCAAAGAAAUUGCCAGAAUCCUAAAGUACUUUCCUUGAGUUGCUUUUGCCUUGUGUCAAAGUGAGGGAUGAGAUCUGCACUUGCAGCAAAAAAAAGAAGAGGACAAGAAGUACAUGCUUUUGUACCUGUAAGGUCAUUAUUUGUUAAGUUAUGGUUGAUAAUGGCUGUUAGGGUCAUUACAGUUGCAUGUUUUUCUCUGUUAUUUAUUGCAGUUAACAGCUGUUAUUUGAAUUUCUUCUCGAGCUUACACACACAUAUAACCUUUCCUUUUCUUUCAUGUCUCUCUAUUUGUCCCUUCUUUAGACUAGGAGCCCUGUAUUGAUGUUCCAUACCAUUGUAGGGGAACAACCAUGUAAUACCAAAUUCAGGUUGGAUGAAAAGAAAAUUCUACAGAAGAAUUGUUUCCAAUUUCUGGGAAUUCUGCUGCAUGUUGUUCUAACUUCCAUGUUGCUUCUGUUUGGAACUGUUAUGUAAUAAGCUACUUAUGGGGAACCGUGAGGUAGAGAGAAAAAGAGCUCUAAUAUACCUAAAAGUA
rnacentral:misc_RNA from 1 species